rnacentral:rRNA from 1 species
ACCGUGUACGUUGUUGAGCGGGAGAGUAAGUAGUACGGUGCAAUAUUCGUUAUUAGGCCGCGGUGGCAAAGAGUGCUCGAUCGUGUUUGUGGUGGAGCCGGGAGGGGCGAGCAUAAUGGACGAAGACAGGGGUAACAUGUUGGAUGCCGAUCAUACCAGCACUAAAGCACCGGAUCCCAUCAGAACUCCGAAGUUAAGCGUGCUUGGGCGAGAGUAGUACUAGGAUAGGUG